GGCCCUGACUGAGGACAGAUUAGACCCAGCCGUGAACGAAACCCACUGGAUGGAGGGGCAAUGUAAUUCGUUUAACCCCUCCUGCCUCAGUUUCCCCAUGCAAAAUUAGAGGACAAGAAUGGUCCUUGAUUUGGUCUGGACUCAGACCUGCCUCUGCCCUUCCAGCUGUGGUCCUCACGCCAGCCCCUUCCUGCUCUGAGCCUCACGGCCUCACCACGUUCUGAGCAGCAAGUGAGAAGAUGUAAACAAAGGGCACAUGGAAGCCACAGGCAAAGGGCCCUGUGGAGGUGAGUGGUUAUUCUUUCCAGAAUCUAGUUUUACUUGACUGAGACGCGUUCUCCAGGCGCCGUGACAUUUUUGGCAGCACAGUUUAGUGGUUCAGGAGUGUGGCUCUGGAGCCAGACAGCAUGUUGAAUCUUGCUCUGCUAGUCACCAGCAGCAGCAUCUCGGCAAGUAGCUCACACUGUGUGUUCCCCAGUGUCCUCGCCCGUAAAAUGGGUCAGUAAUAGAAGCGUCUCGGGGGUCACUGUGAGGAUUCAAUGAGUCAAUACACAUAAAGGCUUCAAGCUGUUCCUGGUAAUAAUGCCUGCCCUCAGAAGAUGCUAGAGUGUGACUCUCGUGGUGGGGUGGGGAGGAGGGGAACAGUGACCAGGGAGGCAUCCAGGGUGCUGAGAAUAAGCUGUUUCCUGAUCUGGGUGCUAGUUUCACAGGUGUGUUCAGUGUGUGACAACUCAUCAAGCUGAGUGCUAAGAUAUGGGCACUUUCUCUGUGUCACAGCCCCAGAAAGGCGUCUUCUUUUUCAGUAGUGACUCAGAAUUAGCAAAAUUCCUGGGAAAACUCCAGACUUUCAAAGGCUGUGAAAUUGGUGGGCUCUAAGGCAGAUCUUUAAGGGAAAUAUCAGGUAAUGCUACCCAGGUAAUGUAGGUAGAAUAAAUAGAAAGGUAGAAUAAAUAGAAAAUCACACUGAGGUCUAGAUGUGAUAUGGUGAGCAGACAGGGCUGGCAACAGGAAGGUCCAGAGAAGGGGGAGGGAUCCAGAUGCCCAGGAGGGUGGUUAGACCUCUUAGUCUGGGUUAUUGGGGUGGGGCUGUGGGUCCCCCUCCCCCACCCUCAAGAACUCUUUGUCACUGCUCCAUGCUCUGUGAUGCAGGCCUGGAACAUUCUAGAAUACAGCACACAUCUCAGUGCCCUGUUGUCUGAGGCAGUAGUGAGCUUCAGGCCUCAGAUGAUGGACACCUAUCUCCUUUCUGAGGAGAGUGAGUGAGCCACGGGUCAUCAAUUCCAUCAUUUACUUCCUGUGUGUGGCUAGGCUCCUCCUUCUGUCAUCCUUCUUCCAAAAGGGAGCCAUUUGCUACCAGUCUUCAGAAUAAAGGAGACAUCAACCAGAGCUUGGAGUUCUCCGUGGACACCGAGCCCAUGUAGUAAAGGUAGGAGGGCUCCCGGCGUGGUGUAUAACUCUGCCAUGGUAUAAAGCACUUUCCUUGUUCACUUCAGUCUUCAGAAGCGAAGAUUCUAGUAGGGCUGCCUCCCUUCAGUUUCUUACACUCUCACCACCAUAUUGAGGGAAUCUAAAAACUUAUAUCCCAUGCCUUUUCUGGGAAAGUUACUACAGAUGUGCUUCAGAAAAAUGAUGAAGAAAAUGAAGAGAAGAGCCUCGAGGACUGUGAGGAAACAAAUUUCUGGUGUUUAAGCGGCCCAGUCUGUGACACUUUGUUACGGCGGCCCGAGCAGACUAACACAACUGGGAAAGAGGUCACAGGUACAAGGGUAGAGGAGAUUGGAGGAGUGAGAACACAGCAGGGGACAAGACCAGAGUAAGAGACUGAUGACGGGGCUAAUGCAAAAUGAAGUGACCAGGUUUAAGGACCUGAAGGAAAGCAGCAACGAUGGUGACGGAGAGAAAGAGACGGAUGUGAGAGACACUGUCAACAAAUCAAAUGGGAUGUGUAAGAGGGUGGAUGUAUUGAAUGAGCAUGAUGGUUGGGACACAGAGGAGUCCCGUUACAUCAAGAGAUGGAUAACAGUCAGUGCACAAGUAGAGCUUGGACUUCCCCAAGAGGCUGGAGAGCAGAGCAGUCCCAGAAAUAACUUGGUACCCUGCUCGGCACCACCAGAGUUGGGAGUCCUCAGCUGCAGACAGGCAUGAAGCCUCAGACCUACAAUGCUUGAUGCUUCAUCAGGUGAGGACACUGGGGAACACACAGUGUGAGCUACUUGCCGAGAUGCUGCUGCUGGUGACUAGCAGAGCGAGAUUCAACAUGCUGUCUGGCUCCAGAGCCACACUCCUGAACCACUAAACUGUGCUGCCAAAAAUGUCACGGCGCCUGGAGAACGCGUCUCAGUCAAGUAAAACUAGAUUCUGGAAGAAUAACCACUCACCUCCACAGGGCCCUUUGCCUGUGGCUUCCAUGUGCCCUUUGUUUACAUCUUCUCACUUGCUGCUCAGAACGUGGUGAGGCCGUGAGGCUCAGAGCGGGAAGGGGCUGGCGUGAGGACCACAGCUGGAAGGGCAGAGGCAGGUCUGAGUCCAGACCAAAUCAAGGACCAUUCUUGUCCUCUAAUUUUGCAUGGGGAAACUGAGGCAGGAGGGGUUAAACGAAUUCCAUUGCCCCUCCUUCCAGUGGGUUUCGUUCACGGCUGGGUCUAAUUUGUCCUCAGUCAGGGCCUGUGUCUGGACUGAAUGAUCAGAGGCCACUCAACUCUUUAGACUCUUUGGUGAAGUGUGGGACCUUGGUUGCCCUUGUGCUGGUGACAGGAGGUUACCAGGGACCCAGGAACCCAGGCAGGUGCAGGAGGAGGAAGAAAGGACAACAGGGAGAUGUGUGCAGCACAGGGUGAGCAAGGCAGAGGCCUCUGUGCAUUUGCCGCCCGGUAGGGGAUGACCUGUCAGCCCCUGACCUUCAGGGACAGCCCACAACGGCCUUGGCAUCAAGGUGUCAGUUGGACUGCGCCCCAUUCUGGUAUUCAGGGUCCUCUUCCAAGCUCAAGUGGUGGCUGGUGGCAGAAUUCAGUUCCUUGGGAGACCAGAAUUGAGGGCCCUAUUUUCUUGCUGGCUAUUAGCCAGAGACUAGAGGUCACCUUCAGAUCCUUACCACAGGCCUCUCCAUAGGCCCUCUCACAAUAUAUCAAUUUUCAUUUCAAGACCAGUAGAAGAAAUUUAUUUCAGUUUUUGAACUUGUUCCUUCAGGGAGGGCCCAGCCCCUUUUAAGGACUCAAGUGAUUCUGUCAGGCCCACCCAAAUAAUCUUUUGAUCAAAUUAGUGACCUUAACUACAUCUGGCAAAUCCUUUCUCCUUAUAACAUAAUCAUGGAAGUGAUAUCCCAUCAUAUUCAUGAGUCCCUCUCACACUCACAGGGAGGGAAUUAUAUAGAACAUGUACCCCAGGGAGUCAGGAAUCUGGGUAACAUGUUAGAAUUCUGCUUAUCACAUCAGAUGAUGCUAUCGAUUCUGGUCCAGGGACCUCAUUUGAGAACCACUACUUUAACAGAGCUACUAAAUAAAUAUGAACAUUUAUGUGACUGUGAAAUCAGUGAGUACAGAAAAGCAAUGAUUAUAUAUAUCUGGAUGAAGAUUUCUAAUCAAAGUGGCAGAAUUCCAGUGGAAAUGCACUCACUACACUGAAUACCUAUUGAUACUAGAUACAAUUCUUUUAAUUAUGAAGUUAUAUUUAAAUUCAAAAAAAGAUAAAGAGGACAAGAAAUUGAACAUAAAUAUGCAGUGGUGAGUAGGGGCUAAAAUCUUUGGCUACUGGACUCUGGGGUUAUAGGCAUAGGGAAUUGAGUUUAGCUUCUCUGGGGAACCAUCUAAUUUGAGCCCUUAGCAUUUGAAACUGUUGACCAUGCCCUCUCAGUUCCAUUACACAUUUCCGUAAAUGUAAGUGGCACCAGUGCUUUCUGGUUUCCCUCCAGCCACUCUACACACUCUUCUCAAUCUCCUUUACAUGCCCUUCUUCCUCUACUGUCAGGUUGUUGCUCAGGGCUCUAUUUUGCAUCUUCUUCUCUUCUCAAGUGACAUGCUCUCCUGGAGUACUCCAACAAAACCCAUGGCUUCAAAGACCAUCCCCGCAUUGAGACUUCUUAGUCUUUAUCCCCAACCCACGUCUCUUUUCCUGAAGAGCAGACCCAUAUAUCCAACAUUUCUAAAACAGCAUUAUCUCCCAGCCAUUCAAACUUAUGUUCAAAUUUGAACUUAUCCCCUUUCUGCCCACCCCCAUCCCACUCCAAAAAUGCUUCUCCUCCCAUAUUUCUCUCUUAGUAAACGGCACUAUCAUCCACCAAGAUGUUUCAAGCAAAUCUGGAAUUCUUCUUUGACCCAUACCUCCCCCUCACCCCCCACAUCUAGUCAAUCAUCACCAACUGUCAAUUCCACCCCCCAAAUAACCCCUCCGUCCAUCCACUUCUCUCAAUUUCCAUAGCCACUAUCAUAGUUCAGUCCAUCAUCUUCUCUUGUCUACAUCAUGGAAAUGGUUUCCUAACUAAUGUCUCUGCUUCUAUUGUUAUUUUCUUCCAACCCAUGCUCCACUUCUUAGCCAGAGGGAUUCUACUAAAAUUCCAAUCGCAUCAUAUCACUCCUCUAGUAACAGCCUCACUGGCUUCCCAUUGGUCCUUAUGGUAAAAUUCCAUACUAUGCCUUCAAAAUUCUCUGCUACCUGGCCCCACCCUAGCUCUCCAGUUCCAGUCUUGCCAAUCCUCACCCCACCCUCUAUAAUGCAGCCAUACUGUACUGUAGUUCAUUCUUCCCAUACCCUACUCUCUUCCCUUGUUUAACUCCUACUCAACCGUCAGGUCUUGGUUUACAUAUCCUAUCUUCCAGACAACUUUCCUGACCUCCUAGACAAGGCUGGGACAUGACCAAAUAUAUCAUAGUAUCCUCAACUUCCCCAUAAUAAUAUUUAUCCUACAUCAUUGUGGGUGCUGAAAGCUCCUUGAACAAAAACACAGUGAUGACCAUCAUCUGGUCCUCCUCUGUGUCCUCAGUGCAGCCACUGAAGCAGUGGGUAAACUAUGUCCUUCCAGAAGUGAUAAGUGGCUAAGUGCCUAGAGGCAGUUCCUUGCUAGAUCUACCAUGAAGGGUGGCACAAGUACUGAAUUCCCUCAGGAACAGAGACAUAGUCACUAGGACUCCAGCAAACAGAGAGGUUUUUCCCUGAAUGAAAUAUGAUUUUAAUUUGUACAAUAUACACAUUUAUAAUAAUAAUAGCUGCAUGAGACAUGCAAUAAUAAGUCCCUAAUGCUAACCUGGGGCAAAAUAUCUAAUAUGAAUUAAAUUGGCUCUGUUCCUAGGAAUUUUAGCAUAUUGCAUUGUGGAGUUUUAGCUAAAAUUGUGCAGAGCAUAGCUGAUUAAUAUUCUAAUUAAAAUCAGAAUAGGACAAUAGGAAAUUGUUGGUUUUCCCCAGUAGUGAAUAAAUAAAUACCUUCCCAAUAAAAGUAGGCUUCCAAUAGACAUUUGGCUGCCCUAGGCUCCAUCUUCUGAGAGAAUCACAUAGCAGGCCUACCUAGAAGGUUGUGUGGCCUUGAAAUGCUAAUGUCUCCAAAAUCUACCCCAUGAAUACCCUCUUGUCUAUGGUGGCAUUUUGGGCCUUUGGAGGAAUCCUAGAUAAGUGCAAUCAUUUUCUUCUCUGUUUUACCUUAACAUAGAGAAACGGUCUCAUUCACAAUUUUGCAGGAGCAGCUCGCUAUACAAUAUGAAUCUGCCUUUGGCCUUAGAUGGUGGAAACAAAUGUGGACAUUUGUACCAAACUAGGUCAGUCCAAAGUAUAUGAACAUAGGGAGCUGAGCUGGAAGGCCAAGUGGGCUUGGGGUCUGAAGGAACUCCUUGGGGGCAGCCAUGAUGGCUCACCAUGAGCCCCAGUGAAUGAGCAGAAAUGGAAGUCUGCACGGGCUACAAGUCUGUGGGGCUACAAAUGCAGCAGUCCCCCUAGCAGAGAUAGGAAACCAUGAGCGCUCAAAUGGCAGAGCAAAAUCAGAGUGCAUGAAAUUUCCCAGAGUGCUUAAAACAAACCCUCCUUUUCUUAAGCUAGCUUGAGCACUUUUCUGCUCUUUGCUAGACAGCAACUCCUGAGAUAAAGGGAAGUAGUGACAUAGGUCGCACGAUUUCCUGCCCAGGUUCUUAACUUCCUUCCUGGUUAAGAACUGUCCCAGUGCCUUGGAUGAGGACCGAGAUGAUGUUGUGAGGAAAACUAUGGGGAAUAUGAAGCUGGGCACAGCAGCAGCAAUAGUAAGGUGAAAGAACCAGCACCCAGAAGAACCCCAAUAACUGGAAAUAUGGUAAAUCUAACAAGAAAAAGGUCAAUACGGGUGAAGGUAAAGACCUCCAUUUGGACUAGGAAAAAAAUUAACCAGACAGCUCAGGAUGAAUAGUGGAAGUAAGAACUGAUGCAACAGUGAUGCAUGUUGAAAUGACUGAGGGGGUUAGUUGAAAACAUGUCUGAUACAUCCAUGCUCAUGAACUCAGCAACUACUCUACGUGCUUACCACAUGCCAGGCUUUCUGCUAGGAGCUAUACAACCAUGCAUCAGAAUUUUUACUAUGGCCUUUCUAAUAUCUAAUAAACAUAGAAGGCCUCAUUUUCAACAAAGUGGCUAAGAGAAAAGAGGGGGUUAUAAAGAGUUCCAAACUCACCAGAUUCAGCCCUUGCCCCCUUUAAAUUUGUCCGAUCCAUGUCCCUUUCACAGUUAUAAUGAGCAUCAGCUCCUGCUUCUUCUGGGGCUUCCCUUUUAUCCUUUCAAUAGAUGUCUUAGUUUGGAUUCUCCUAAAAGCAGAUCCUCAGACAAAGAUUUGAGUGCAAGUAGCUGAUUUGGGAGGUAAUCCGGGAAACAGAGUGAGGGAGUGAGAUAGGGAAGGAAGGCAGCCAACAAUGUUACCAAACCAGUUACUGCUGGAAUAGGCGGAGCUCAGGCUUGGCGGGACCUCAGGAAGCCAGCAUAGGAUAUAACGCCAGAGUUAUUCUUACAAAGGAGUGGGAAUCUGGGGUGUUUAUACACCGACUCUUAUCAAGGAUUGGUUGAGGGCUGCUUCCAGGACGUGGGGUUUCUGGCUUGCCUUGCAUGUAGGCUGUGUGCUCCCAGGGCCGGAUAAAUAGCCCUCAGGCAGAGAUUCACAAACGUCACAGUAGCAGCCUUUGUCUUAGAGAGGCAAAUUCUGAGGGGAUGGGCUGGGACACUAAUAACUACAAAACUCAAGGGGCCAGCCCAGUGGCUCAGUGGUUAAGUGCUCAUGAUCCACUUUGGCGGCCUGGGGUCCGCCAGU